rnacentral:rRNA from 1 species
UUAUACCUGGGCUACACACGUGUACAAUGGAUGGUACAAAGGGUUGGAAGCCGGAGGGAAGCCAAUCCCAUAAAGCCAUUCUCAGUUCGGAUUGUAGGCUGCAACUCGCCUGCAUGAAGCUGGAAUUGCUAGUAAUCGCGGAUCAGCAUGCCGCGGUGAAUACGUUCCCGGGCCUUGUACACACCGCCCGUCACACCACGAGAGUUUGUAACACCCGAAGUCGGUGAGGUAACCUUUUGGAGCCAGCCGCCGAAGGUGGACAGAUGAUGGGGG